GCCAGGCAUGGUGAUGCAUGCCUGUAAUCCCAGCUACUUGGGAGGCUGAGGCAGGAGAAUCGCUUGAACCCAGGAGGCCAGAAGGCAGAGGUUGCAGUGAGCUGAGAUCUUGCCACUGCAGUCCAGCCUGGGUGACAAAGCGAGACCCUGUCUCAA
rnacentral:SRP_RNA from 1 species